AUGUUGGGCUGGGUAGGUAGUCGAAAAGCCACGGUUAGUUUGCAAGACGGCGUGCAGGAGUAAUUAAGAUGGACUAUUCAGAACAGGUGCGGGACCGUCGAGUUUGGAGCAGGACCGACGAGAUACCCUUUUCCCACAUUAAGUUUUGUUUUGCCAUGGUCUUUAAAUGUCUACAAAUAAACUGUCAAUGGAGCACCGACGCUAACCAGUGUCGGACUCGGACCACAGAGAUCGAGCUGACCGAGUGACGGGUAUCGGAGCAGUGCCGGCGGGGGCAGCGAAGCGACAGACACAUCCAGGUCUGUUUCUGAGGGUCGACAGUUCACCUCACCCACCUCAAGUUCAACUCUGGAGACUUUCAUUUAGGGUCUGAGGUUUAAAAACACCCUCUAGUUCAGUUCCAGAGAGUGGCUCUAGUCCAUUGCAGUCUGGCCUUCUUCCAAUCCAGCCGUAAUUACGUUUUAGGACUUCUGCUCCGGUGUGGCAGCAGGCGUGGCCAGACUCUCCGGCUUCACAAUCUGAUGACGUACUCUGCAUACGCCAGUCCGUUGACACUGGGUCGACCUAUAACCGAGUGGUGUCCAGGGGGGGCGUGGGCCAUUUUCAUCGCACUAAACUGAAGAAAUGACUUACCCAGCGUCACUCUGCAGAACAGCAUCUGCCUAAAAUACAAACACACAGAAUGAUGCCGUGAAGACUGGAACUCCUUGUCGUCUGGUGCCAGGUCGAUCAGCACGGUGCCCUGGCUGGAGCAGUGGAACGUCAGAUAUGGGUUUGCACCUACAAACAAAAAACAAAUGAUGACACUGACACUAAAUUUCUUAUCAUACAUUACAGGUACAGCCACAUAUAUAAACCCAGGAGUUUGAUGUAUAGAUGAUGUAAAGUAAGUAUUUUGAGUGUUUUUCAACGAAUCUGGAGACUAAAUAACAGAACUUGGCGUUAUAAAGAGAACAUGCUUGAUUGUUUUAACAUUUCCAGUGUUUAUUUGAAGAUUCAAUAUUUAUGUCAUUUCAAUAUAGUAAAUCUGAUAUAGGAACAGGUGUGUGUUUGUGUGUCUGUGUGUUUCUGUUUGUUUCCUGACCUUGCUGGCCUCCCAGCAGCCUCUCGAUGCCCUUGAUGAGUUUGUGUCUGUGGCCGUAAGCGUUGAUGCCGAUCUCUUUCAGCUCCUCGUGACCCAUAUCUGCCAGCACAUCCAGCGAAAUCUGCCCGGAAACAACAAAUGAGUCAUUGGAGCAGAGACAGUCUACAGCGAUGCUACAGCUCUGCAAGGCUGUACUUAGGCACAGUGGUGCUCUGAGCUAAAUGCUAACACUAACAUCCUCACAACGACAGUGCUAACAUGCUGAUGCUAAGCAGGCGAGAUAUUUACCACAUCACCAUCAUUUACCAUGAUCACCAUCUUAUUUUAGCAUAUAAGUUAACAUUUGCGAAUUAGCACUAAACACAAAUUACAGUUGAGGCUGAUGGCUGAUAGCUUUGCAAGUAUUUAGCCAUAAACCUAGCUAUAAUAAGCAAUAAAAAUGUUGGACAAAUGAAAAUGUUGAUGACCCAAGAUAAAAAGUUGAGGGAUUAGCGAAGUAAUUACAUCCUGAGGGGAACUUGGAUGUCUGAACCAAAUUUUAUGGCAAUCCAUCUGUUGUUGAGAUAAUUCAGUCUGGACCAAACAUUGCCAUCCCUUGAGCCACGCCGCUAGAAUGGUUAUGAUCUGACAAUGAGGAAUGUAAAAUGGAACAAAAACGAACAAAAGAAAACUAAUUAAAUAAUUGAGUUCAAACCAAGACAGAAUUAACCCUGUAAAAAACAAACUAUAAGCCUAUAGAAAUUAGUAAAAGUUGGAUAUUGACAUUAAAAAAAGUCACCUAAACAAUAUUUCACUUUCACUCGCAAUUUGAAGCUCUUUCCUGGUCUUUCCACCUUUCAUCCUCAUCUCUUAUACCUAUGUGCCUCUCCAGUUCUUUGCACCUUUUGCUGUUCCCUUUCACUAUUGCCUUUCCCAGACACAUAAAGAAAUGUGUGUGUACCUGUUCCCGCUGGAAGGUGUCUCGGAGGUGUUCCAGCCCUAGGCUCUUCAAAAACUGGUUGAUGGUCAUGUCGAGCAGAGCUGCAGAGACACAGAGAGACCCAGAUGCUCCGUCUGCUGGUCCGGUGGCCCCGCCCACAGUGAUGUCACUGAGGGGCGCGGUCAGGUUGUCUAUGCUGCUGGCUGCAGACAGGCAGGAUGGGGAUGGAG